UGGUAGUAACUCAGCUAGUAAAGCAUCAGACUUGUAAUCUAGAGGUUGUUGGUUCAAUACCUACCCAAACCCAACCUAAAUAA